GCUGCCCGCUGGCGGCGUGCCUAAUACAUGCAAGUCGAGCGAACAGACGAGGAGCUUGCUCCUCUGACGUUAGCGGCGGACGGGUGAGUAACACGUGGAUAACCUACCUAUAAGACUGGGAUAACUUCGGGAAACCGGAGCUAAUACCGGAUAAUAUAUUGAACCGCAUGGUUCAAUAGUGAAAGACGGUUUUGCUGUCACUUAUAGAUGGAUCCGCGCCGCAUUAGCUAGUUGGUAAGGUAACGGCUUACCAAGGCAACGAUGCGUAGCCGACCUGAGAGGGUGAUCGGCCACACUGGAACUGAGACACGGUCCAGACUCCUACGGGAGGCAGCAGUAGGGAAUCUUCCGCAAUGGGCGAAAGCCUGACGGAGCAACGCCGCGUGAGUGAUGAAGGUCUUCGGAUCGUAAAACUCUGUUAUUAGGGAAGAACAAAUGUGUAAGUAACUAUGCACGUCUUGACGGUACCUAAUCAGAAAGCCACGGCUAACUACGUG
rnacentral:rRNA from 1 species